rnacentral:rRNA from 1 species
AUUGAACGCUGGCGGCAGGCCUAACACAUGCAAGUCGAGCGAGCGGCGGACGGGUGAGUAAUGUCUGGGCACCUGCCUGAUGUAGGGGGAUAACUACUGUAAACGGUAGCUAAUACCGCAUACCCUCAGAUGUGCCCAGAUGGGAUUAGCUAGUAGGUGGGGUAAUGGCUCACCUAGGCGAAGGUCCCUAGCUGGUCUGAGAGGAUGACCAGCCACACUGGAACUGAGACACGGUCCAGACUCCUACGGGAGGCAGCAGUGGGGAAUAUUGCGCAAUGGGCGCAAGCCUGAUGGAGCCAUGCCGAGUGUGUGAAGAAGGCCUUCGGGUUGUAAAGUACUGUCGGCGGGGAGGCGUUACCCGCAGAAGAAGCACCGGCUAACUCCGUGCCAGCCGCCGCGGUAAUAC